UACGUAUUUUGUUUCUGCAGGAGUACAAUUUCUUGAGGGUAGAGCAUGUUUCUGACACAUCUUAGCAUCUCUGAGUGCCAGAAAAAAUAGGUGCUUACCAUCAGGAUCAGGAUCCAUCAGGGUAGUCUACAGCUGGUGACAUGGCAAGAAAGAGGAGGCUGCAGAGACUGAACAAACAGCAUGCACUGUGGUAUCCUUUAUUUAAAAAUUGUGAGCUAACUACAGUUGUAGUGUUCUCAUUUACCAUUCUGAUGGCAUAAUAAACUGCGAGAACAU